rnacentral:rRNA from 1 species
AGUGCAUAUGGCGGAUGCCUUGGCGAUUACAGGCGAUGAAGGACGUGGUAGUCUACGAAAAUUUUCGGGGAGCUGGCAAACAAGCUUUGAUCCGGAAGUGUCCGAAUGGGGAAACCCACCCGUUAAGGGUAUCUAUCUCUGAAUAUAUAGGAGACAAGAAGCGAACCGAGUGAACUGAAACAUCUAAGUAACUCGAGGAAAAGAAAUCAACCGAGAUUCCGAUAGUAGUGGCGAGCGAAAUCGGAGCAGCCUGUUAUUUUUAGCACACGUGUUAGUAGAACGGAAUGGAAAGUCCGGCCAUAGAGGGUGAUAGCCCCUUAUACGAAAACCCGUGUGUGGAACUAGGAUAACGACAAGUAGGGCGGGACACGUGAAAUCCUGUCUGAAUAUGGGGGGACCAUCCUCCAAGGCUAAAUACUCGUAAUCGACCGAUAGUGAACUAGUACCGUGAGGGAAAGGUAAAAAGAACCCCGGAAGGGGAGUGAAAUAGAUCCUGAAACCGUAUGCAUACAAACAGUGGGAGCCCGCAAGGGUGACUGCGUACCUUUUGUAUAAUGGGUCAGCGACUUACAUUCAGUAGCAAGCUUAACCGAUAGGGGAGGCGUAGCGAAAGCGAGUCCUAAUAGGGCGAUUCAGUUGCUGGGUGUAGACCCGAAACCAAGUGAUCUAUCCAUGGCCAGGAUGAAGGUGCGGUAACACGUACUGGAGGUCCGAACCCACAAAUGUUGAAAAAUUUGGGGAUGAGCUGUGGAUAGGGGUGAAAGGCUAAACAAACUUGGAGAUAGCUGGUUCUCUCCGAAAACUAUUUAGGUAGUACCUCGUAAAUCAUUCUCGGGGGUAGAGCACUGUUAUAGCUAGGGGGGGCAUAAGCCCUUACCAAACUAUUGCAAACUCCGAAUACUGAGAAAUGUAAUUACGGGAGACAGUCCAUGGGUGCUAACGUCCGUGGACAAGAGGGAAACAACCCAGACCGACAGCUAAGGUCCCAAAUGACGUGCUAAGUGGAAAACGAAGUGGGAAGGCAUAGACAGCUAGGAGGUUGGCUUAGAAGCAGCCACCCUUUAAAGAAAGCGUAAUAGCUCACUAGUCGAGUCGUCCUGCGCGGAAGAUGUAACGGGGCUAAGCACGUAACCGAAGCUUCGGGUGUGUAGCAAUACACGCGGUAGGAGAGCGUUCUGUAAGCCUGCGAAGGUGUCUCGUGAGGGAUGCUGGAGGUAUCAGAAGUGCGAAUGCUGACAUGAGUAGCGAUAAAGAGUGUGAAAAGCACUCUCGCCGAAAGCCCAAGGUUUCCUGCGCAACGUUCAUCGGCGCAGGGUGAGUCGGCCCCUAAGGCGAGGCAGAAAUGCGUAGUCGAUGGGAAACAGGUUAAUAUUCCUGUACCUCAAUUUAAUGCGAUGUGGGGACGGAGAAGGUUAAGUCAGCCGGGUGUUGGAUGUCCCGGUUCAAGCGUGUAGACAGAUUCUUUAGGUAAAUCCGGAGAGUCAAUGUCAAGGCGUGAUAACGAGAGAGCUUGCUCUUGAAGUGACUGAUACCAUGCUUCCAAGAAAAGCCUCUAAGCUUCAGUCAUACGAGACCGUACCGCAAACCGACACAGGUGGGCGAGAUGAGUAUUCUAAGGCGCUUGAGAGAACUCGGGAGAAGGAACUCGGCAAAUUGGUACCGUAACUUCGGGAAAAGGUACGCCCCGGUAGCUUGACCACUUUACUGUGGAAGGGCGAAAGGGUUGCAAUAAACUGGUGGCUGCGACUGUUUAAUAAAAACACAGCACUCUGCAAACACGAAAGUGGACGUAUAGGGUGUGACGCCUGCCCGGUGCUGGAAGAUUAAAUGAUGGGGUGCAAGCUCUUGAUUGAAGUCCCAGUAAACGGCGGCCGUAACUAUAACGGUCCUAAGGUAGCGAAAUUCCUUGUCGGGUAAGUUCCGACCUGCACGAAUGGCGUAACGAUGGCCACACUGUCUCCUCCCGAGACUCAGCGAAGUUGAAAUGUUUGUGAUGAUGCAAUCUACCCGCGGCUAGACGGAAAGACCCCAUGAACCUUUACUGUAGCUUUGCAUUGGACUUUGAACCAAUCUGUGUAGGAUAGGUGGGAGGCUUUGAAGCGGGGACGCCAGUUCUCGUGGAGCCAUCCUUGAAAUACCACCCUGGUUUGUUUGAGGUUCUAACCUUGGUCCGUUAUCCGGAUCGGGGACAGUGCAUGGUAGGCAGUUUGACUGGGGCGGUCUCCUCCUAAAGUGUAACGGAGGAGUUCGAAGGUACGCUAGGUACGGUCGGACAUCGUGCUAAUAGUGCAAUGGCAUAAGCGUGCUUAACUGCGAGACCGACAAGUCGAGCAGGUACGAAAGUAGGACAUAGUGAUCCGGUGGUUCUGUAUGGAAGGGCCAUCGCUCAACGGAUAAAAGGUACUCUGGGGAUAACAGGCUGAUUCCUCCCAAGAGUUCAUAUCGACGGGGGAGUUUGGCACCUCGAUGUCGGCUCAUCACAUCCUGGGGCUGUAGCCGGUCCCAAGGGUAUGGCUGUUCGCCAUUUAAAGUGGUACGUGAGCUGGGUUUAAAACGUCGUGAGACAGUUUGGUCCCU